CCUACGGGUGGCUGCAGUGGGGAAUAUUGCGCAAUGGGCGCAAGCCUGACGCAGCGAUGCCGCGUGAGGGAUGAAGGUCUUCGGGUCGUAAACCUCUUUCAGCAGGGAAGAACGGUCACUGUGCUAAUCAGCAGUGAAUUGACGGUACCUGCAACGGAAGCACCGGCUAACUCCGUGCCAGCAGCCGCGGUAAUACGGAGGGUGCGAGCGUUAAUCGGAAUUACUGGGCGUACAGCGCACGUAGGCGGUAUGUCAAGUCAAGGGUGAAAGCCCCGCGCUCAACGUGGGCACUGCCUUUGAUACUGGCAAACUGGAGUGUGUCAGAGGAGAGUGGAAGUCCACGUGUAGCAGUGAAAUCCGUAGAUAUCUGGAGGAAUAGCAGUGGCGAAGGCGACCAUCUGGGACAGAACUGACGCUGAGGAGCGAAAGCGUGGGUAGCAAACAGGAUUAGAUACCCCUGUAGUC
rnacentral:rRNA from 1 species